AUCUAAUCCAAGAUCAUAAUUUCCGAAAAGUUCUUAGAUGUUUUGAUUGAAUUAUAUCCAUAAGAAUCAACUAACUAACAGUACUCAAUACAAAAAGUUGGGAAUUAACGCCAAUUGGUAUACUAAUUGUUGGAUUAAUUCAGUUCGUUAUUUUUUUUAUUUUGGUAGUUUUGUUGUGUAUUUGUUUUUCUGUAUUAUAAGAGACAAUUAACACAGUGUUGUAAUUUCAUGAUUCAUUUAAAACCUUUUGCUUAGAAUAAUUAAGUGAACGUAAGUGGGUCUUCUAACCUCUAUUUAUUAACGAGGGUAUGCUUUUUUAUUAUAUUAUAAGUAUAACAAAAAUGAGAAUAAUGUUCAUUAAUAUGAAAAAAAGCCAAUCUAAAAGAAUGUUAGCAAUUUUACAUACUUCGAGUGGAUCAAAAUUAUGGAAAAAUUUUCAAGAAUAGUUAAUUGAUAUUAAAUAUCAUCCAUGUGAUUGUUUAUAAUAUUUAAUAUAAUGAAAUCUUAUCAUACUUAUAUUUUACAAUCUAAAUUUAUCAAAAAAAUUUUCUAUUGAAUUGUGUUAUAAUGUGACCGAUGAACAUUAAGGGACCAUACUUAAUUUUCACUAAUAUCUCAUCAAAACUAGAAAUGCAUAAUUUUAAAAUCAAGUAAAAAAUUUUUGUUAGUUGAUUCUCCAUGAAUUUUAUUUCUGCAAAUACUAUUUUAACUAAUAAAAAUCUGUCGUGUUUAUUAUUGAUGACCAUGAUACAUUUUUCAAUCUAUCGAUGCUGAAAAUCUCGUAGCAUUUGUGCAACAAUGUAUUAAUCAGGAGUGACUUUAUUGGGUAUUGAAAAAGAAUCAUUAUCACAUCUUUUGUACAAUAAUCAAAAUAAAUAUAUCAUUUAUUUGUG